rnacentral:lncRNA from 1 species
UUUUUUUUUUUUUUUUUUCAUUUUUCAAGACAAAUAGGGGCCUGUUUGGUUGAACCAAAAAAGUUUUUCGCACAAUUAUUGCAUAGGUGGUGGUGUUCUCUUGAUACUACUGCAUUUGCAUUUAGAUAGGAGAUUAUUUGAAAUAAUUAAUAUAUUAUUUUUUUAAUGUGAUGUAUGUAAGAUAAAAAAAUAAUUAAAAUGAUAAAAAGUUGUGUUGAAAAUGUAUUUAUGAUGUAAAAAAAUAAUUUUUUGACAAAUAAUUUCUAUCCAAACACACAAUAUACAUUUUGAGAGUUACUUUUUUGAUCUACUUCUUUUGAUGCCAAUUAGAGAAUCUAAUUGGAAAGAGCUAUCUGAAUGCAGUCGCAAUUUAAUUUUUGAAAAUAAUAAUAAUGUUUUGGACAUAUUUUUCAACCACGCGUAUGCUUGCAUAUUAAGUUAUAACAACAUAUGACAAUCCGACAAUCUGAAAAGAAGAGUAGUGCAGUCACAAUCAUAAUAUAAUUCCAUAUCUAUAUUUAUUAUUUCAGAGAGUUUUCCUUAAGAGUAAUUCAACAUAAAGUAGUUCAGAAAAACAAAAAAACUACUACUUAUAUAAUGGUAUUCAAGAGGGCAAUUUCAUUAAUCAAUUGCACUAUUGGAAGUUCCGUGGCAUCUUUAACAUCAACUAAUUGUGAACUCAUUUGGAUUGUUUUUUUUUAUAAAUUUUUGAAAAAAUAUAUAUACUGUAGUGAUUUGAAAUAAAUGAAAUUUAAAAAUAUAUUCACAGAAAAUAUUUUCUGUGAAUGGGAGAUACUAACAGAACCUAUAACGGUCCAAAAGGACCAAAAUAUUUCAUAUUAGUUGAAAAUGUAAUGCAAAGCUAAUCAGUGGUCAAGGGGGAAAUUAUUACCAGCUCAAGUAUGUUAAACCACUUUUUGGUUAGUGAAUCAAUUAAAGAGGGCUACUGGGCUUAACAUAUAGCUAAGGCCUAGCAAUCGAAGGCCAUCAAAUUAACACGGCACAACUUUUGAAUCUUUAAUCAAUAAUAAUGAAUGUUUGCCAUUAGCGCAAAAACGACAUGGCUCUGUCAAAUUCAUGUCCUUAUCCCUAGCCCACCUUUGGACCCGCCCUUAUCUCCACCUCAACCGCCUUGCCGCCGUCACCGCCACAAUCCCCAUUCCCGCGGCCCCUUCCCCAUCGCCGCUUUGUGGGAAGAAACAAAAAAGAUGCAUCAUUUUUCUUUUAUUUUCCUGUUCAUGUCUUCCCGAUAGAAAAUUUUCUCCAUUUAAACAGGGGAUAUAUUGGUUAAUACCACAUCAUAGGGUGUCUUUUAUUUUUCCCCAUUUUAAUAGUUGUACUUUUGUACAUGCAAAAUUUUCAAAGCAGGAACAAGAAUGGUUGUCAUGAGCAAGCAUUUCAGAAGGUUCAUGAACAUAAUUAAUAUCCCGUUUGGAUUGCAUUUUUCAUGAUUUUCCAUGAACCAUGAAAAAAUUACUGUAACGAUUUAAUGUAUAUGAGGGAAAAAGGUAAUAGGGAAAUGUAAUCACGGAAAACGAUACAAUUUUCCGGCAGAAAAUGACAAUCCAAACAGGGCAUUAAAUAAAUCUUAAAAUUUUGAAAAUAUUUAAGAAUCAAAAUAUCAUUGUGUCGAUCGAUUUUAAUACCAUAUGUAAUGCUCGUAAACACGUGCUCUAUGUUUAUAUUGCCUUCAACGCAAUUUAUGUUGCUCUACAUAUUUACCAUUUGUUCAAAUGACCAAACCGUCUCGUUUAUAAUUUGUUCAAAUAAACAUAAAUUGUCUCCAAACAUCAUCGUUGCACUUACUCGACGUCCAAUCUUCUGGUCAUCAUUAGUAGAUUUGUUGAUGGUGCAGGGUUAGCCCAAACAUGGCCUCUUCAAACCCGAAAUUAACGGGUCAAGCCACAUGCAAUACAAGGCUAUCCACAGCUUAAUGGAGAUAUGAUGUCUAAUUUAUUGUAAGUUGAGUUUAAGCUUCAUCACCCUCAACCCAAUUAACGCGCAAAUACAAUUUGAUAAUAAUUUUAUAUUAGAUAUAUCAUGUAUGGUAUUAUCUUAUACCACAAGAUAUAAAUGAAAGAAAUCAAAAAAAAAAAAAAAAUCAGAAGAAGGGAGUGGACUGGGUGUGGACUGAGUCCAAAUUAAUCGCGAAGCAUGAAUGUCUUUGCCACUGCCACUUGAAAGUUCAAGACCGGGUAUUUGUAGUACGUUUCUAGUUCGGGGGUUAUUAAAGCCCAGCCCAGCCCAGAAAGCGUGAUUAACAGCUACCACUAAUCGCUAGAUAUGGCCAUACAAAAAAUCCACUAAUGGCAGUUGCAGUAAUUUUGAAAUAAACAGAAGGCCAACUUUGGGAAUGCAGAUGAUACGGACUUUGAAGGAGGCAACAGUAGACAUAGCCUUAAGGUUCACAGCUUUUAAAACUUCGCGCCAGCAAGGCACGUGAAAGCAGCCUGGUGUCUGAGACUCUGACUCUGGGGGUCUGAGUCUGUGGGGUCUAACCUGUACGAUCUAAAUCUAUAGUACUGCAACUCCCUAACCAUACGUACGAUAACAACAUUAAAGGACAAAAACUUUUACUAGUAGUAGAAUAUUAGAUGUACUUGUGGGAAAUGCAUUUCGCUUCUACUGCAAAUUAAGCAGAUUGAGAUGGGGCUGGGUUUUGACUUCUGAGUGCCAAUUCUUGGGUCGGUGGUAGCCUAGCCUGUGAAUUAUUCAUCUGUUUUUAUAUAAUUCUAUCUAAGCCCUUGCGUUGGUAGCUGGUGAAUCUGUUAUAUAUAUAUAUAUAUAUAUAUCUUUUUGCAAAUUAUGCUUAAUUUGAAUAUUCGUUGCGUAAUAUUUUCCUUUUUCAUAGCUUGAACCCCAUGGAAAGAUUAUCAAUCUUCACAUUUUUCGACCAAAAUUAAAGCUGUCUAUCAUUAUAGUACCAAAAAAAAAAUUACAAAUUUGCCAAAAAAAAAAAAUAUUUUAAAUUGUCAGUGUACGAUACUCUUAAGUGAUGAUGAUAAAACUAAAUUAUGAAUGAUAAUUAACAUCUCAAAAUUUAUACUUGAAAAUACUAAUAAUUAUACCUUUAUCUUACGAUACUAUUUAUGGCUUUUUUCAAAUACGCAUAGACUUAAAAAAAAUAAAAGAAAUAUGGAAGGUUUUCUUAAACUUACAAAAUACAAAAAAUAAAAGCCAUCAAUAGCAAUCUACCUACUUACACAACAUGGUGGUAAUAUCACUCUAUCCUGUGUGCAAAAGGCAUUCAAAUAUCCAAUGACCACAUAAAAGAUGGAUUUUAAAAAAUACAAAAAAGGAGUAUUGAGUUUAUUUUCUUUUGAAUCAUUUUGAAUAUGUGAAUAAAUGUCACACCGGAACAUAUCAAAUUGUUAAACAUUGUGUAUACUUUUCAUUAUAAAAUUUCUAAAUAUAAAUUAAAUUUUUACAUAUAAUUGUUAAAAUUUUUGGAGCAUUCAAAGAAAAUUAUAAAACACAUUCCUUACUGUUAGCAUUAGAAACUUCUAAAUAUCUGGCUUGAAUUUUGAUUGAGCCCCUUUAAAGAAAUCUUCAUUUGUCCCUUCAAACAAGAAACUUGAUUCUACUUUUGCCAUAUUCUGAAAUCUAAUUUGCUAAUUUAUUUUGCCACAUUUUAAUUCCAACCAGUAUGUCCAUAUUGGCAAGUGCCUUCUCAUAGCUAACUAACGUUUCAUGUGAUACUAAAACCGCAACUGCUAUAAUCAGCCUGACGAACAAUGAUGGACGGUUAUUAACUUACUAUCUUGUUUUGAAAAUCAACUCUAUCGGAAGCGGUCUUAUAAAGUCACAAACAUCAUCCGUAAUUUCUUUGAAAGAAGGCUUAAGAUGCAGGGACUGAUCAACCCAGACGGCAUUGGCAAAGCUGAUGCUAGGCCCGCCGAAAGGACCGCCGUCGGCCGCGAAGACAACGUCGACUUAGGAAAGAGAGGGGCUGGUCUUGGGUUGGGCAUUUGGAACCCGAGGCAAAUCAGGCCCAAGAGUAGUUGGAUGAACAGCGCACAGAACAGAAAGUUACAACAUUUUUGGCAUCCAGUAAAGCUUCACCCUCUUAAAUUCAAGCUUUGAACCAGAGGAAAACAAGUCAUCAUCAGAUACUGCUAGAUAAGUUCACGUUUUGACCUAUAGGCUAUAGGGAAACAAUGCCGAAAACACAACACUUAAAAUUCACGUAUAGGAUCUCUGAACAGAAGUACCUGAAAACAACUGGAAGCAACAUAACAUACAGUACAUCGGAAAGCCGAACUUAUAGGGGUUAGACAAUAGCAUUAUACAUACCAUUAACCAGACAAAAUAAGCUACAUGUCAAAAGACCGAAACAGCAACCCAUUCUCCAGCGGUUGUUAAGAAUCAAGAGGAUUAACCACACUACCAAUAAACUGCACCACCCCAGUCAUGUCUUCUCUUACAAAAUAAAGCAAUGGGUGAUCAGCUACAAAGUCUAAUUUAUUGAAAAAUUGCGCAGACCGUAGCCUUAUCGUAGCCGCAGUUGCAGCUGCAGCUUCUGUUCCUUCUUCGUUAACCUCAAUAAAGGAUUUGUGGAAGAUGCUUGAAACAUGAAGGUUCCGGCUCACAGGGGAGUCUACCAUUUCAGUGAGGCCGCCUUCACCAGAGAAAGGCAGCACAAGCCCCAGUCCCUUCAGAGUUUUAGAAGCUUCAAAUCCAAAGGAUAUCUUAAAUUUUGGUACGAGGAAGUCGCCAACUUCUACUUUUGAACGUGAUAAAUGAUGCUCUAAGAAUCCAGGUUCAGAACCAGCUCUGUCCAACAAAGCUGGCAGCCCAUCCUUGGCAUCUGGGAGAAAAAAGUACAUGGAGAAGCGACGCUUAUCCUCACCUUGUUUAUAAGGAAGACACAGUACUUUAAACCCAUCAUAGGCACUUAUAUACUGUUUCUUCUUGCUGGUCAUGAAGGGAACUUUAAUUGUGCUGCCAUUCAGUAGGUGAAAAUCAUGCUCCUUUGUUUUUGAUGCGUCGAACUUAUCAUCCCAUUCUCCUUUAAAGUACAGCGCAUUCGCAAAGAUCAGCCUUGUUGUAUUGUCUACAGAGCCAGGAGGAAGGAUUUCUUUGAUCAGUCCACUUGUACCCUUUUCGGCCCAUGAAUUUACUUCAUUGGUGACCUCAGCAGGCUUCAUCAACACCAAUGCAAACAUUAGCAAACGUAUUAACACUACUGAUUCCCUUGCUAAUUUCCUUACCAUGUUCUCUAGUUAUGGAACCCAUGCAUAUUACAACAAAGAUUACAAGUCAAUACUGAAUUUCUAAUACAAUAACAAAACCAUCUUUUCGUAAAGGACUUGAUGCAUAGAGCAAAAGCACAAAGCUUCUCAUUCAGACACAAAGCACGAAAUUUAAGAGACAAAAUGCUCAAGUUUGCAGAUAGAAUUGAGAACCAAGUUGACAGCUCUACAAAGAGAACCUUAGAAGCCAGAGUUUUAACUAUAUUGAAAAGCUAAAACGGCACUGGAAGACAGUUCCAUGAUCUGUUGUUAGGUAGCAUAUUUAGAUGUACUCUGGAAGAGUAGGGGUCAAUCAAUAAUCACAUAAGAAAAUAAGUAAAGAUUAAGAUGUCCAUGGCCCUAAAUGAACCAGUUACUACUCAUAAUUCCAAGAUCAAAACAAUUCAAGAUCACAGGAAUGUUAUGCUAAAACUUUAUUAUUUCAGAUAAUGUGAUAAAAAACAGUGUCCAACUUCCGCAGCCCUUACUAUAUAAAUCAGGAAGUGAAAAUCAACUCUUAAAAGAAGACAAGUGAGCAAAUUAACUAUACUCAUUGAUUGAGUUUCACAUUUAACCAAAAUGUUUGCGUUUAUCUUUAACUUCCAAGGACAUGAGCCAAAUAGAUUGUAAGAAAAUCCGAGGACAAGUAUGAUCUGAAGCACUGCCGGAAAUUAAUGAAGACGCGAACUUUCUCUACAAAUAGAAGGAGACAGUCCUAGGCAUUCAACCUGAAUAUGCGUGCUUAUCAGCAACUUCCAAGAACAUAACCAAAGACUAAUUGCAAGAAAAUCUUACGACAAAUAUCAUCCAAACGAGUGCAGGAAAUUCAUGAAGAGCCAAUUCUUUUCUACCCGUCAAAGUGCUUAUUAGGACAGACUAAAGAAAAUCAACAAACUAAAGAAACAGUUUCACAAUCAAAAAACUCCUCCGUGCAACAUGCACAUAAACCUCAAUCAUACAACAGUCAAAAAAGCCUCUUCUUUUAAGCCCCUUCCCUUUCCUACUAGCCAAUUUCAGUACUUGCAAAAGGCGCAGGAAGUAUUACCAAUAGAUAAUCAACUAAAAAAGGCAAACGCAUGAUGACAAACGAAUAGCUUAACACAACGAAAAGAAAAAGCCCAUGUGAGAAAAUUAACAGGAAAAAAGAGAAAAAAUUUUUUUUUUGAUAAAAGACCAAGAAGUUUUAUUACCUUGUUCUGAAAAUCUACUUGAUUGGAAGCGGCCUUAUAAACUUCAUCAACAAUCUUUUUGAAAGAAGGCUUAAAAGGCAGAGACUGAUCAAUCCAGACGCCAUUAGCAAAGGACAAGCGAGGCCCGCCGGAGGGCGCGCCGUCGGCUAAGACAAUAGUGACGAGCUGAGAAGUGAGAGAGUUGAGGUGAUCGGUGGAGGUGGACUUGAGGAAAGAGAGGAGCUGGUCUUGGGUCGGGCCCUUGGAGCCGGCUGCAAUCAGGCCCAAUACUACGUGGAGGGACAACGGUGAGAAGACGGAGUUGGUGUCCUUGGCCUCCGACGAGAUGACGUGUUUUGCGAGUGCCAAUGAGACGUCGUUUUGCUUGCUGAUUGACUCUCUCAGGUCCAUUUCUUCUUCUCUUGGAGUAUAUGGAAAAUGGAAAGUGGAAACAGAAAGAGAGGCGAGCUUGAGCUUGAGUUUGAGCUUCUCGUGAGAAGCAUAAAAUAACUCUGCCUUUAAUAGUGAGGUUGCUUAGCAAUUAAUAAAUCAUUUUUGGGCGGGUGAGGUAACUUUUCUCUUCUUUCUUCUCUACUAAGAAAACGAGAUGUGAUUCUCGAUACGUGGGCUUUGAAUCUAUUCUAGAUCAGAUGAAACGUGAAAUGGACCAUUGGGUCGUGAUAAAUGCCCUGGAAUCUUUUCCCUACGGACCAUUUAUUCGAAACUUGUCCAUUUUCCGAUUUUCUAAGUCACUGAGUGUUUGGAUAGUUAAAAUAUUUUAAAUAAUAUUUCGCUUGCAUCAUAAACAUAAUUUUUAAUUUAUUUUUUAUAUUUUCAAUCACUUUUUUAUUUCACGUGUAUCAAAUUACAAAAAAGUGUUACAGUAAUUUUGCAGCGAGGUGUCCAAAGGCAUGAGCAAGACAACGCAAGUGAUGGUGGAAAUUCAUUUCUCAACAUAAGUAGAUAACAUGCGAAGAGCUGUGGUGACCUGGAGGUUUUUCGUCGUCCUCUCACAUGCCGCGCAUGUGGAUUAGCAGCACUGUGUUCUUCGCGCAUGGCGCGGCGGGUUCAGCUCCAUUGCCAUCUUAUCUUCUUUCUUUUCUCUGUCAGUAACCCAUGUGUCUCCUGCUGCGUUUUCUGCUGUGUUUCUCUAUCUGGCAGAAUCCAAUGCCUCUCCUUUCGCCUAGCUUCUCUCUCUCCUUCUUCUUGACGGUAUUGUUCUGUUUGCUCUAUUUCGGUCUCUGGGUUGCAGUGGUAUCAUUUGGUUCUCUUCAUUUUCCUCCGUUGUAUUCUUUUUUUCUUUACUCUUCUUUUUACUUCCGGUUAAGUGCAUGCUUCGCUGUGAGCUUACUCUGUGAGUUUAAACCUAAAAUUGAUAUUUUUAAUUUUUGUUCUUUGAUUCCCAUUUCGAGCUGCGAAGCGGCCAUGCAUCCUCUGUCUCUCGCUUUCUCUGUGUUGCAGUAGUCCGGAUAAGCUGCCGUCUGUUCACGGCGCCUCCUUCUCCUCCAUUGUACCUUUUCUGCCUCUUCCUUUCCGGUGAGGUACGCUCCUCCUCUGCCAUUGUAUAUUUCUAUUUUCUCUUCUCUUCUUUUUACUUCCGGUGAAGUGCAUGAUUCACUGUGAGCUUACUCUGUGAGUUUAAACCAAAAACUGAUAUUUUUUAUUUUUGUUCUUUGGUUCCCAUUUCGAGCUGCGAAGCGGCCAUGCAUCCUCUGUCUCUCGCUUUCUCUGUGUUGCAGUAGUCCGGAUAAGCUGCCGUCUGUUCACGGCGCCUCCUUCUCCUCCAUUGUACCUUUUCUGCCUCUUCCUUUCCGGUGAGGUACGCUCCUCCUCUGCCAUUGUACAUUUCUAUUUCUUCCAUAAAAUUCCUUUUUAUUCUUUUUGCCUCUCUUUCUUUUUGCCUCUCUUUAUUGAACAGAAAACGGUUUUCUUCUGAAGUGAUUCUUGAGACUGCUUCCUUACAUGCCAAGGAGGUGCCAUCUUUGACCUUUUUUUCCUCCCCGAACGCAUGCCUUCUGUCUUUCCACUCGAAUAAGGUGCGAUCUUGCCCUUCCUAGCUUUGUUUUUUUUAAUUUUAUUUUUUCUUCAAAUAAGGUGCGAUCUUGCCCUUCUUAGGUUUUUUUUUUUUUUUAUUUAUUCUUUCUUGAGACUGUUCCCUUACAGGUUUCUUUUACUGGUUUGUGGAGUGAUUCUUGAAACUGUUUCCUUACAGGCCAACGAAGUGCCAUUCCUCCCUGAAUGCAUGCCUUCUGUUUUUCCUCUCGAAUAAGGUGCGAUCUUGCCCUUCUUAGCUUUGUCUCUUUUGUUCGCAUCUGAUGUUUUAUGCUCCAGACUCUUGCACGUCUGUCCUGCUUAGUCUGCAUUUGUGCUGUUUGGGGCUUACCCUUUGAUCUGUAGCUUGUGUUCUGAAAAAAAAACUAUGGUGCCUACCUCGAGAAACUGAAGCUGUUUUGUGCUGUGUUGCUCUUUUGCUCUGUGCGUUUUAGCCUGGAGUUGUUAUGUUGCUGUUUAUACCUACCCCUCCAGUUAGACAUCUACUUCUUCAGAGAAGUGUGGGGUUAUGCAUUAUUUUUUAGUUUUGCCUCUAAAAAUAUAUAUAUUAAUUGCCUUUUGUAGCUAAGUCAACGCACCUAAUUGCCUUAUCUGUGACCAACAUAUUUUUUUUUAGCCCGAAUUUGGCUUAUCCCUUCUUCUGAAUCCUGUUACACAUUUGGGCUGUGCUUACUGUUGCGUGUUUCAUAGAAUUUCCCUUUUUUUGCCUUUUGUAGCUCAGCUAGCGCACCUAAUUGCCUUAUCUGUUACCAACAUAAUUUUCCCUUUUUUUUUCUUUUUCUGAGACCGAAUUUGACUUAUCCCUUUCUCUGAAUCCUAUUACACAUUUGGGCUAUGCUUAUUGUUGCGUGUUUCGUAGAAUUUCCCUUUUUUUAGUCCUGUUAUACAUUUCUUCUCUAAACUUGGAUUAUUUUUUUCUUUCCUAUCUUUAGUUCCUUGAUAAAUUUAGAUUCUGUCUUGAAUUAUCUUUAUUUCCAUUUUGAUUUUUAGAUGGCCAUUGAGCCUUUACGUGUGUCUGAGGUCCAUAGCUCCCUGCCCCAAUGGACUUGUGUCAUCCAAGUUAUUGAGGUGUCUCAUCUUAAAACUAGCUAUGCAGAGCAUGCAUCCAAAAAGUAUCGUCGCUUCGUCUUUGCUGAUUCACAGGUACGUUUCAUUUUCAUCCCGUUAUUGUUUUGUUCUUUUUUCCUUGCUUUGCUGUUGUGAGGUUUUUAUUUUUGCUUCGUGUCUUGUGCUGGACAGGGCGUAAAGGUUUCUGUUGUUGCCUUUGAUGGUAACGUUGCUCAUAUUGAAGGUUUGUUUUUUCCUUUCAAGAGGUACUGCAUUAGUAAUGCUGCUGUUGAGAAAAUUCCCAGACCUGCUCCGCCGGGUCUGCAACACCAAGGUAAGCUAUAUAUUCUUGUUUACUGAACAUGAAUAUUUGCUAUGGAAGUAUUCCCUAAAUUUUUCAUGGUAUUUAUCCUCCAAACCAGUUGCUGCUUUGAUGUUGACCUCACUGAUGAUACCAGUGUCAUGACAGCCUCUGUGUCUAGUGAAUUGGCUGAGCAAUUACUUGGAUUUACUGCAGUUGCGGCAACGGAUUCGUAUAACAAGGUUUAUAUAAAACUACAUAAACGAAUACUCUAAGAUAUGAAGCAGAACAUCUGUAUUGUGAUACCCUUUGUUACGGUUUCUUAAUUAGCCAUUUUGUUUAACUAAUCCUCAGAAUGAAGAACUCCCACUGGACAUGAUUCAUGACACGUUGAAGUCCAAGACGACAUUCAUUGCUCAGGUUAGGCCUGGAAACACCAAAGAUACUAAUUUGAGGACACCAAAGACUAUGAACUCAUUGAAGAACAGCCCCCAAGUAGUUUUCAGGUGGCCAGUCAGCUUUCUGCAGUUGAUACUCCAGGUUAUUGCUAAAUGGUUCACUAUAUAGUGUCUUUUCAUGCUGCUACACGAUUCUUUUUUUGAUUACUUUUCGCUUGUUUUAUUAUACAGAAAAAUCAUGUUCUUUUUCCAAGAGUCAACUCUGCCUUAACAGGAAGCAAGCCGUUUCUGCAACAGAAAGUCAAUCUUCUGCAAUAGAUGUUUCAGGUGCUUCCUAUUCCUUCGAUGAAUCCCUAUUUUCCAUGUUUCUUGAGUAUAUUCUAAAAAAAAAAUUCCCUUCUUGUAUAGGUAAGCCGUGUAGUUCCUCCAAAACUCACAUUUGCCUUGCAAAAAAAAAAAAAAGCUCAGCGAGGAAGCCGAAGAUACUGCAUCAGAAACUUGGGAUUUCACAAGCAGCAAAAAACCAAGGAAUGCUUGAACUGCUUGCACUCGUCAGAAAGUCUUUUGUCAUUACAUUGCUGCUGUGUAAACCUAUUUAGGCUUGUACUCUUAUGCUUGAUCUAGCCUACAUGCUUUCCUCUUUUAAGCCAUCUUUUGUGUUUUAGACCUGCUGUGAAUUUAGCUGGUUUUAGGUCCUGGCUGGAUCUCUCUAGAUCUACUGUUUUGCUAUUCAGAAUGUGUUAAACUUGCUCUUUUAAUGAUGUGGUUGUGUGUUUUUUUUCCUCGCUCUGCGAAUAGCUUCUUACAAGGAUGCGUAUCAGUUGUGGAUAUUUACAAGACUUGGGUUCUGUUCUGUUUUAGGUUCGGGCUAGAAUGGUGGUUUUUGAACCAGCCUCUUGCCUUGUGUCUAAGUGGUUUCGAUAGUUGAACUGGACAGGUCCGCUAUGGAGCCUAUGUUCGGCAAUGAUAUGAACCAUUUUCUUGAUCUGUCAAUGCUUUCCUCUUUUACUGGUUUGAGAAUUGAUUCUUGAGAUGAAUAUGGGAUUGUGUACUAAAUUGUAUUAUUUGAUCACUAUUUCGGUGUCACAGGUUAAAAGGCUAAAAAAAAGCUGCUUUUUUGGUCAAGCCUGUGGCAGCCUGCCUUCAAAAAGAAGAGAAAUUUAAACUACGCGGAGAUUCUGCAUGAAAAUUUCCAUGCAGGCCUAGGGAAGUUUGGGGAUAAGGAAAAGCAUUGCAUGAAGAUAGGGACGAGCAUUGCUAUAAAUUAUAUUAUUGUAUGAAGUUAUAUGUGUAACUGUCAUUAGUAGGACAAGCAUUGCGUAAAUUUAAUGAUCUGCAUUGAGGGCAAGAGAACAUCUUGGAUAAUUCGCCAGACAGUUUUUUCCUUCAAGGGAAAAGUGCACACUUGGGGACUUUUAUUUUCUUUGGAAUAAAAUGGCAGCAGUCCAAAAAUCAUCCCACCGCCUACUAAAUUAACACCUGCACUGCACUGUCAAAGAGAUGUAACAAGGAAAUGACCUAAAGGUAGCAGCACUUAGUUAGUGAGUAAAUUUUUUUUUUUUUUGGGGCUAAUGCUGUCAUUUUCCAAGCAUUUAGGUUUGCUUCAUCCUCCCCAGUACGGUAGAGUGUCCCUAUAUUAGGAUGCAAUAAUCAAAGAAUAAAAAAAUUAAACUGGGAAAAAAGGAAUUAAACUUGGUCAAAAUAUUAACCUGGAACCAUCAUUGGCAACACAGUUAAUUAGUCACUAUUUACUGUUACCCUCAAACCAAAAAACAAAAAAAAAAACUUAUUAUAAAUGGACUGGCAGAUUUUUUACUCCUGACAGAUCAAUUUCACUGGUACAAUUGAACUUUUAUUUAUUGCUAAUUUAUUACUAUUAUACUGCUUUAAUUUAUUAUGAGAACCUUGCUAUGAAAUAUGUUCAUUUAAAAAAAAAUUUUAAUCUUAAGUCAAAUACGCGACAAAGUGGACUCGAGUUCAAUUAAAAUUAAAAUUAAAAUUUGGACAUGUUCAUCUUGGCUGAAAGAGAAGUUGGACGAAAACGAAAAGUCCUAGAUUAGAUGUGGUGAACAUAUGAGUCUAUAAAAUGAUUUGUCAACGGUCACAUCGAAAUUUCUUCUUUUUUUCUUGUAUUUAAGUAGAUAUUUAUUCAUUCUUAUUCCCUCUUUGUUUUUCUUUUCUUUUCUUGAAGCUGAAAUAUAAGGCAGAUGUGAGUUAUGGCCUAAUGCCCUAAUCAGAGUAUAGUGCAUGGAACUGCUACGAAAGGAGAUAGUAAUAAUUACUUAGAGCUAAAUGCCUCUUAGGUGGUUACCCCAAAAAUCAAUUCCUUUGACGUCGGUUCCUUACCCGUUAAAGGAGAAUUUGAGUAAUUUAAUUUAUUAUAAAUACACAAGUUCUAAUUCUUUUUUGCCAAAAAAAUUGUUCCACUUAUAUUUUUGGCCUAAUAUUCAACUUGGUUCAAUUACCUGGGAUUUAUUUUUCUGCAAGGAAAAAAUUACAAUUUCUUUCUUGGAAAUGUAAUUAAUUGAUGAAUCCUCCCCAAAUGAUUACUAAUGGAACUUGGUCCACUUGUUCCGUAUCUUGGUUCAUAUUUACACCCUAACUUCGAACCAAACCAAAUGCUAGAAUGGAAGCAAAAAGGCAAAAUGGAGAUAUAAGUUUCUGCAGCCGCUCUCGGCAAUAAAGCCUCUUUAAAGCAAUGCACACCUAAUAUUUGGUAGGCAAUAAAGUUGAACCUUUUACACCAGCUUCCUUAAUUAUAAUCCUGCAUCUUUUCCACAUUGAUAAUCCUGAACGUGUAUAAAGUGUCUACUCUUGCUCCUAUCUUUUGAUAGAGGAAAUUCCACAUAAUUUCCCUUUCCGUUCCAUCUUGCAAAUGGCCAAACCCAGAAACCCUUUCAAGAGGUGGAAAGCAGUGGAUCUCAAAGCCAAAAUUUGAUACUACCUUUGCACCUUCGAUGGCUCUCGAAUUCACGCCGCAACUGCUAUCCAGUCACCUCAGAUAAAAGCGUUAUAUUCUGUCAAGGGAAGCUUCUUUGAGGCCUAUCCGAUGGUUCUAAAACACAUGGGUGAACCCUCGCUGUACUCUCUUGUCUCGGUUGAACAAUGGUUGCAAAAUAUCAUUGAUAUCAGUUCUGAAGCCUUUGCAGCAGACUGCGCGUUCCUUGCUUUUUUAUGGCAUAUAUGCAUUCUGUUGCUCGUAACAAUAAUUUAUGAUUUUGCUUCUUUUUUAUAUUUUUAUAGCCAGCCAUGCACCUUCGACGAAAGAACUUCCACAAGGAAAUCCAUGGUGUUACAUUAUGAUGUGUUAAAAUCUGCAGAAACAGGUUUACACUUCAUAUUAAUGUUGAAUCGGCUGUCUUGUACAAUUUCCAUGAUAUCUGAAUUUUUCCCCUUUCCACCCAGAAAAUCCCUGGUUCUGUUUUUAAAUCAGCUGGCUUUGAAAACGGCCAGGUUUUGGAGCUGUACCACGGCAUCGCUGUUUUGGCAUGUAGCAAUCAAUGAUAGAUGCUUUGAACAAGGCUGGGAAUCGUAUUGCAGAGAUAACUUGAUUCAUGAAUAUGACUUACUUUUCUUGCGACGUAGAGGGAAUUUAACCUACGAUGCCUUGGCUUUUGGCACAGCACAAACCCUCACGUUAAUGCCAUGGACAUUACCUUUACCAAUGGUGCCAAAUUAUCAACCAAUUCAGCCAGGAAAUUAUUCUUUCUUGCAAUAUUUCUCCUUAUAUUAAUUUAUACUAUUCAUACUGAUCAAGGACAAUUGUUUUUCAUGCAGAUGUUCCAGUUGCCGUAAACUCGAACCGUAUCACUUCAUCCAUACAUCCAUUCUUCGGCCACAAUCUGGCAGCAUCUACUACUUUCUACCAAUUUUGUACUAGGCUUAAUAGAUACACCUUUCUUCUUUCUUGAUUUUUUGUCUCCAUUUCUUAUAACUUAUACUUGGUAAUUCGCAGGCCCUUCCACAAUAUAUGACCCCGGAAUUAAAUGAAGCCAAGACUCCAGCAAUUAAUAUUACCAGUGGACACCGGACAUAUAGUCUUGGAAUGACUGCGACAAAGUUUGACCAAAACUGGAAUACAUUCGUUGCAGACCAUGAACUUCAAAAUGGCGAAGUUCUUCUCUUUAUUCCACAAUCCAGAUCUUCUUUUGGCGUCAUCAUCUUCGACCGGAAAGGAAUUGAAAGAAUGUAUCCAUGGCACCACAAUUUUAAUAUUUAAUCCCCUGCUGUUCCCUGUUUAGGUUCGUUAGGUUUAUUUCUGAAAUAUCCUUGUAUGCUCUGAUCAAUCGACGAUUGUUAGUCCCUGCCACUAAUCUUUUACUGCUUCAACUUUUGUUUUACAAAUUCUUUGUUAGCUCCAUUUUUCUCCUUUUUCAUAUUCCAGCUCAUCAUACUGAACUGGGCAUUAACAAUUUCAUCCCUACCGCGCGACGCGCGGUUCUUGCCUCCUAGUUUUAGGAAGGAAGAGAAGGUGCGUUUUGCCUUUGGACGGCUACGCGUCAAGUGAUUUGGGAUUCUGCAGUUCUGCGUAGCUAUUAAGAAACAAAUCUAUCAAUCAUACCCAAUAAAUUACUAUUUAAUACUAUGACCAUAGUACUGAGAAAAAUCAAGAAAACAAUAGCCCUUUUUUUUUUUUUUUUUUGAAUCAAGAAAAGAUUAGCCUUGACGGUGACGGUGGAGAAAGCUUAAUUGAACGACUCUUACCGUUAACAUCAACCUUAAAAAUCAAUUUUACAAGCUGGACAAGUAUACAAUUAUAACGGAAUAGAGUUAUAAGAAUUAAUGUGCCCAGUUUAUAAAUAGAAGAUUCUGAGUUUAUAACUUCUUAUUUACCAAAAAAAAAAAAAGAGCAAAAAAAAUCAAUGUGCCGUGGCAAAAAAUUUUUUUUUUUUUUUUAAAAGAUAGCAGUCAAAACCCGGAGAAGCGAUAACCUUUGUUGUGAAUUCCUUAGAACCACGGAACUUGGGCCUACAAGUCAGGGCUUCAAGCCCAGAUUAUGAUGGGAUAGAAUCUUCCAAACAGCAAUUAAAUCUUGUAGUCUUUGAAUUUUACCCCCAAAAAAGAAAAAAAAAAAUCUAGAAUACUUGAAAUAUUCGAGGAGACUACUCAGUCACUGCGUGAAGAUAAGUGGAGGCAGGAAUUAAAAGUAUCUAAUUAUGGUAGAAAGGAAUGACCAUUUGCCACAUAAAUUUAACUAAUUAACUGCGGCUCGUAAUGUAGAGUUUUAUUUGAGCACUUGCCGCCAUGUAAGUACUAGCUGAUACCUUGACCUUUAAAUUCCAAAGUAGUCUAUCCAGAGCUCUUUCACAAAAAAACCAAAAAAAGAAAAAAGAAAAAAAAGGCACUCCAUCCAAAGUUAAGUUAGAUAAUCUCACUAACAUUUCACAAAUAAAUCGCAUCUUUAAGUCCAGUGAUGGAUCAUGCAGCUAAAGAAGCUGCUAUUUCAAAUUAAGAGAAUUGGUUCAGGAAAACCAGAUCUAAUCAAUCUAUAUGAAUUACUACUACUACAUUGUAAGUAUUACAAUCUGGAAUUUUAUUUUAUUGCAAAACUAAAGGCACUCUUACAAUCACAUACUACAAGAAUAUUCAACAGCCAGAAAGGGGAGCGAAGAACAGAGUGAACAACAACUAAUGCAAUCCAAACAUAUAGGAGUAAGUACGCAGGGGAAUAGUAAGGUAUUACAACAUAAAACAAAAGACAAGAGAAAUGCAGCUGUUGAAGACUUCCAUUCCAUGUACUAUAAAUUCUUCGCUACCUAUGAGUCAAGGGGGUUAAGCAGGGUACCAAUGAACUGUACCGCCCCGGACAUGUCUUCUCUUAUAAGGAAAAGGAAUGGGUGGUCGGCAACGAAGUCUAAUCUGUCGUAAUGUUUAUAAGACAUUAAUACCACUUUGGCAGCAGUUGCCGCUGCAGCUUCUGUUCCCUCUUCAUUAACCUCAAUAAAAGAUUUGUGGAAAAUGCUCGAAACGCAGAGGUUUCGACUGACAGGGGAGUCGACCAUUUCGGUAAGUCCUUCACCAGAGAAAGGCAGCACCAGCCCCAGUUGCUUCAGACUUUGAGAAGCUUCAAACCCAAAGGAUAUCUUAAAUUUUGGGAUGCGGAAAACGCCUACUCGUACUUUUGAGCGUGGCAAGUGAUUUUCCAGGAAUCCAGGUUCGGAACUGACUUUGUCCACAAAAGCUGGCAGCCCAUCCUUGGCAUCCGGGAGGAAGAAAUACAUGGAGAAUCGGCGUUUAUCAUCGCCACCUUGUUUAUAAGGAAGGCGAAGCACCUUAAAACCAUCGAAGGCGCUAAUGUACUGUUUCUUUUUUCUGGUCAUGAAGGGGACCUGAAUUGAGCUGCCAUUGACGAGGUGGAACUCAUGCUCCCUGGUAUUUGAUUCGUCGAACUUCUUUAGCCAGGCUCCUUUGAAAUACAGAGCAUUUGCCAAAAUCAGUCUCGUUGUUCCAUCCACUGAGCCACUAGGAAGAAUCUCCCUGAUAAGCCCGUUUGUUUCCUUCCGAACCCAGGCAUUUACUUCGUUGGUCACCUCAUCAGGCUUCAGAAGAACAAUCAACAGAAAUAAAGAAAAACAAACGUUAGCAACUUGGCAUAUUCUACGGUUUGCUAUUUUGAACAUAAAGGGGUUGCAGAAAAUUCACACCCUCCAAACAAGAAACGUGACUCUACUUUUGCCAUAUCCAAAAGUUUGACAUGCCAAUUAGAGACUAUUUUCUACUUUUUUUAAUUCCAACUAGUAUGCCCAAUUGCACCGUGUGGUUAAGUGCUGUCUCAUAGCUAACUAACGUGGCAUGAGAUUAUGAAACACAACCAUGAUUCAGCAGACACAUAUUCAAACAGAACAAAAGAAAUUAGGAAAAUGAGUAGGCUGAUGAACAAUGAUAGACGGAGACGGUUACUAACUUACUACCUUGUUUUGGAAGUCAACUCGAUCGGAAGCGGCCUUAUAAACAUCAUCCACAAUCUCUUUGAAAGAAGGCUUAAAGUGCAGGGACUGAUCAACCCAGACGGCGUUGGCAAAGCUGAUGCGAGGCCCGCCGGAGGGGCCGCCAUCGGCGAAGACGCCGUUGACCAGCUGCGAGGACAGGGAGUUGAGGUCGUGGGUGGAGGUGGACUUGAGGAAAGAGAGGAGCUGGUCUUGGGUUGGGCCUUUGGAGCCUGAGGCGAUCAGGGCCAAGAGCACUUGGAUGGACAGCGGCGAGAACACAAAGUUGCAGUCCUGGGUCUUCGUCGAGAUAAUGUGUUUUGCGAGUGACAAGGAAACGUGGGUUUGGUUGCUGAUGGAUUCCCGGAGAUCCAUGUCUUUCGUGCCUCAGUAAAGAAAAUAUACUAGUAGCAGUAAAUGGAGCUCAGUUGAUUGAAAUCCAAAUACUUUCAAUGAAGGAAAUGGUUUUAGCAGGGAGGUUCCGCAGGCAGUAGAGACUACGUAUACAAGUCAGUCAUUAGAUAGCUUAAUGAAGAAGCAGUAAUAGCCUAACGAAGAAGCUACUGCUUGUUGACAGUUGACACGUUUUUGUUUAGAUUGAAAAAUGAUGAAUUUUUUUUUUUUUUUAACUUCUAGAAUACAACAAUUGAUAUAUAUUUUUUUAAGGAGUAUGGGCGUAUGGUUGGGGUUAGGGAUGUACGCGAGCCGAGCUACUCGCUAGUAGCUCGGUCAACGACUCGGCUCGAACUCGGGUUGACCGAGUUCGAGCCGAGUUUCGAGUAACUCGAAUGAAAAUCGAGUCGAGUUUCGAGUCGAAAUAGCCCAGCUCGAGUCGAGUCGAGUAGCUCGACGAGCCGGAGUUAUUUAAAUAAUAUAUAUGUAUUAUAAUUAUAAAAUGACCAUUAUGGAUAUAAGUUAUAUGAAAUUUACAAUAUAUCCUUCUUUAUAAUAAAAUCCUAUAAUGGCAAAAAAGUAAUAACAUAAUUGUAAAAAGACCUAAAAUGAAAAAAAAUUUCGAGCCUCGAGUAUCGAGUCAAGCCUCGAGCCUAAAGGAAAUUUUUCGAGUCGAGUCUCGAGUAUCGAUUUUUUGGGCUCGCUCGAGCUCGAGCUUUGGUGUAUAUGAGUCGAGUCGAGCUCGAGUAUAGCAAUACUCGAGCUCGACUCGACUCGAUUACACCCCUAGUUGGGGUCACACGCGUAACGGUGUGCUUACGGUCUAUAAUAGGUACAAUUGGCACUUGAUGUGGUUGGCGUAGUUGUUUUAAUUAAGGUUAGGCUUCUUCUAUUGCAAUGGAGAUAAUUUCUCGCCAUUAUGUCCCAAUAAAAUUAAUUUAAAAAUUAUUUUUGAAAAUCAACAUCAUCCAUAAUAUAUUCGAUUACUUGUAUUAGUUAUGCAUACAAUUUCCAUAUAAAUUGAUUAAGUUUUACCCUCCGAUUAAUCAUUAUAAAUUUUGUUUCAAUUUUGACUAAUUUUUUAUCAUUUAAAUGUUUCAUGUAAAUUGAAUGUUAAAAUAUUCUCAAAUGAAUAUCAUUUUUUAUUAUAUUUAUCUAGAGAUUAAGAGAAAAAUGACGAUAUAAUCAGAUGAUUUUUUUAUAAAAUUAUAAAAUUUUAGAUAUAAAUAAAUGGAGGGAACAAUGGAGAGGAAUUCAAUGGGAAGGAUCCUAUCCCAUUAUUUUGUAGUAUCAUUCGUGAUUUGAUGAUAUACUUGAAAACACCUUUAUGUUCAUACAAUUUAGUCGGUCUAUGCAAAUGAAAUUUACACGUACGUCAACAUAUACCAUAUCAUGUGAAAAUUACAACAGCAACUACAACACUCCGUCACAAUUGUCUAAAACCCCUCAAUUUCUGAAAUAUUUGCUCUUUCUCUUUUCUUUCUCCACUUGCCAAAUACUACUAGCUAAUUUUGCAUGAGGGUUAAUUACAAAAAAUUCCCUAAAGUUUAACCAGAUUUGCAUUUUACUCAUAACGUUAUUUUUUUUUUCUCACUUUACCUCCUAAAUUGUUAAUCAAUUCUAAUAUUAUUGAUUCUUGACUAAAAUGGUAAUAAAUAAUUAGCUAUUAUGGACCUAAAUGUUUCUUGAAUAAGUUGGUUCAUUUGGUCUACAUAAUAAUUAGAGGGGAGGAAAAAAACUUAUGUACCAACAUUAACCCAAAAGUGUUGAAAGCAAAAGAGGGAAAGUAGGAAACAAAGAAAGCUCCUCAUUGCGCCACCUGACAGCUCUUGGAGUUGCUACAGCAAAUAGCUACUCAAUCUUAUAUAAUACUAGUAAGAUAUUGGGCGUAGGGCGACAAUGAUCGGAAUUGAACUCAAAUACUCAAACUCAAACUUGAAGUACAUUAUUGGAUCUAGAGCUCAAGUUGGGGUUCAAGCUUGACAAAUUUUUAAAUUUGAAGGUCGAGUUCAACUUGUGUAAAAUAUAAACCAUACAAGAUUGAGCUUGACCCAUGUGAAAUAUAAAGAGUUUGAGCUAGCUCAAGAAGUAAAUUGAGAUCGAGUUGCUCAAAUUUAAAUGGCAAAACUUGUAAUUAUCCUAUGAAUAUAGGUUUUUUUGGUAAUUUAAUAGUUAUACGAAAUAAAAAUAAUAUAUAUACCUAAAGUUUGGAAAAUUCAACAUAUUUAAAGAAUCAAAUUUGACUCAACAAUGGACUCGAGUAGCUUGAUCUCCGAUUUGACCAAAGUUGAGUGGAGAUUUUAACCUGCUGCUCUCAAGUACGUCGAUUCUUUGCCUCCCACCCCCCUCCCUCCCCAAUCGUGCACAAUGCUAUUAAAUAUUUUCUUGCAUCUUUAAUUAAACAGCAAAUGCCGCAAAUGAUCGUUCAGCAAUUUGUCGAGCCUCAAUUCGAUCAAGCUUGAGCGAACUACCGGUGAGCAUCUUAAUUAGCUGCCACCCCUAAUUUAGGCAUAAUGCUAUCAAAUAUUUUCUUGCACAUUUAAUCCGCAAAUGAACGUUAAGUAAUAAAGGAGCGCGAACAUUUUCUUCCAGUAAAAGCGGGUCAAGUGAGCCCAUAAUUUUCAGGCAACAAAUGUUGGAGCCAUCAGGAGACAGCAUUUACAUGUAGACCAAGUUAUGUGAGUCCAAACUAUUUGUCAAGUGGCUGUCUUGAGUUGCUUUCUGCAAUGUAGUUUUUAUUCCUAUUGAUUCCUUUAAAUUAGAAUAGAUUAAAUUAUAGAAAUGUUAUCGUUGCAAAAAAAAAAAAAAAAAAAAAAAAAAAAAAAAAAAAAAAGCCUAUGUGAGGCCCGAAAGAGUCUCUGGAGGUUGGAACUUCAGCUCAGGUGUCGGGGCCAUCUAUUAGUGGAUUUCUGAUCAAAGACGAUAGCAGGGUAUAGCAAAUUUCUCAAUCUCAUACAUUUCAGCCAGCAGGAGGUGAUUAUUUUACUGUUUGGUCACCAUUCAAGUUCAAAGAGUAAGAAACAGUAGAGACACAGACCAUGAUCCACCUAACAAAAAUAGGAUAAAAUUCCAUUUGUAUCAUCAUUCUCCCAAGAAAAUUCCAUUCAAUUCUAUUAUAAACCUUAAACAUGUCCAGUUUAAUUGUCAGGAAACUAGUUUUUCCUUCCCUUUUGUUUUUCAAAAAAUGAAGGAUUUCCUGAGCAAUCAAGACAUUUUCUAGGAUCCGUCUUUCUAGAAUUAAAGCUGAUCGAGAACAACUGAUGCAAUGCUUGAGAAAUCUUUUCAACCUAUUGGCCACAAUUUUAUAAAUGAUUUUGUACAAGACAGUGCAGAGACUAAUAGGUCUAUAGCUAGUUUAGUUCACUGGAGCCUCUGUUUUAGGUAUCAAAGAGAUAAUGGUCUCAAGAGGAUUAGAUGACACGAAAAGAGAGAUAUGAGAAAACGUAAAAUCCACCAUUGGUUUUCACCACGCUCAUUAGUUAGAACUUGCGAGUUUUAAAAUUUGUAUCGCUGGCCGAAGGAUAAAUGGGCGGGAUAUUAUCAGAAUCCUCCGUUGAGGUUUCUUCUAAUAUCACUUGACCCUCCUAAAAUUUUAAAAAUAUCACUUACCCCUUCUAAUAAAUUCAAAAAAAAAAAAUAUUAACUUUCACUUGAUACAUAAUUCAUAUAUCAAAUUAAUGGAGUUCAAAAAUUAAAAACAAAAAAACAAAAGUCAUUUUCUUCUCUUUUUCUUUUCUUCAACAUUCUCUCUUAUUCAUCUUUUGGAUGAUUAUGUGAUUUUUAUUUGUAAAUUAUAAUAAAUUGAAUUUUGUUUAUCUUUUAGUUUUUAUGAUUGUGAUAGAAUGGGUAUGGUUUAUUUGCUUAUUUUAAGUUGAUUUUUAUAAUCAUCAGUACAAUUUAAAGAUUUGGACAUAGGUUGAGAAGAAGUUGAAAAAAAUAUAAAGUUCAUAAGAAAUCAAUUUUAAAUAUAUAGAGUUAAAUUAGUCAAGCAUAUUUCUUUACAAAUAUCAUUUUUAUUUUUCAAAUAUAUAUUUUUAUGGACUAUAGCAUUAUAAUAUGGCAGUACUAGUAGAGAUUGUUUUUCAGAUAAUGAUUUUUUAAAAGUAAAUAAAGUGAUUUAGGAGUAUUUUCAUUUAACAAGUAAUAGGAUAGUUUAGGAUUUUUAAAAAUUUUAUUACACAAAUAACAAAAAUAAGGGAGGUAAGUGAUUAUUCUUAAACGGUUGUUGGAAAAAAAAAGUGAUUAUUCUUAAAACUUAUUAAGAGAACCCAGGGGAGGUUUCUGAUAUUAUCCUAAAUGGACACGAGCCCAUGUUUAAUGUUUGUAGUGCCCAACGGGACUCCACCCAACAAUCAGAAGAGAUGCAACUGGCAACUUUACGAAAGCAGCCUAAAAAUCAGUCUUCUCUCUUGCUCAAACAAGUAACAAUCUCCAGCUUAUUUUAUUCCUGGCCACUUUCGACUAAGCUGAAGUAGGCGGAUACCGGGCGUUGAGAACGGUGGCUGUACUUAUCUCCCCUGGCUCGACAGUGGGCUGCAGCAGUUAGUUUCAAAAUUCCUUUUUUUUUUUUGGAAUCGUAAUUGAUUGUAGCUGCCUCACUUCCAUAUUGGUUUUCUUUUCUUUUUUGUUUUCUGGUAGGAUCUUUAGUUUAGCCAUGUUAUUUGCCUGCUAAGUUUGUGGUUUACGUUUUUUGGUAGCUUAUAUGCAUAUAUAUUCCUACCAUGAAUGUUUGAUAUCUGUUAGAUUUUUGGAGCAAUUUUGUCAUGCAGCAUCCUUUAAUUAGAAUGAUUUUGGCCAAGACAGAAUUUAUAUUAGAUUUCUUUGAUUAUAGGACGAAUUUCUGGUAAACAUGCUUAAGCUGAAUUAUAUUUGUUUCAUUUGUUGACUGAUUUUGUCUGCCGGCAUGCUUGCGGUUUAUUCCAAGGUUAUGUUUUUAUUGCUGCGGUAUAUUUGUGUUUUAUGUAUUGUUAUUUACGUUGGAAGAAGAGCAUGCGAGGAGGACAACAAAACAAUCCUGGGUUGUAGCAGAUUUUUUUUUUUUUUUGGCUGUUGUUUUUGGAUUCUAUGCUAUCUGUCCUGGUCAUUCUUAAUGGGUAUUUUGUCAGGCUUACUUUCCUUCUAAGGACUUUUAUGGUUCUUUUGUUCACAUAGGACUCCAGGUGGUCAAUUAACGAGCUUCAGCAUAGUAAUCUUGUUCUUAAAAUGGUACUAAAUGGAAUUCUUUGUCGUUCAUUUUCUCAUUCCUGAUAACAGACAGAAAAGUAGCAGAAAGUUUUGAUCUUAAUGGAAUCAAGGGCAAUACUUGCCACUGGUUUUGGACCGAGGAAGGUGAGACAGGAUCACUCUUACUAACACAAAACAAAAGAAGUUUCUUUCUUGUAACUAUUUGCUAAAGGAAACAUAUGUUUGCUGCUGGAUCUUUUUCUUCCUCUCGCCCUUCUUAAUAGUGUGCAAAGACAGGGCAGCCCCUCAAGGAUCAGAUUAGUCAGCUUCCAGAUGGAAUCCUUGUUUAUAUUCUGUCUUGUCUAAUGCUAAAAGAAGCUGCCAGAACAAGUGUUCUUUCAAAGCGUUGGAUAGAUCCAUGGAGGUCCAUGGCUUGCCUUGAUUUUGAUGCAUUAAAAGUGCUAAAGAAGAUGUUCUCAAUACCCAGCUGGGGAAGGUAUGUGGCCUUUGUUAGAAAGGAAAGGCGAAGUAGGUUGAAUGGGUUGACAAGGUGCUGCUUCAAUCAGACAAGUCCUUGGCAUUAGGUUAUUUGAGAGUUGCUUUUUAUUUGGACAAAUUUUAUGGAGAUAAGAUUCAUAAAUGGCCUCAGCAUGCAUUUGCAAGGAAAGUGCAAAGGCUGGAAUUGAACCUGUUUCCAGAUGAUGGCCCGCCUUCUUCUCGAGAAUCAUAUACUUUCCAUUAUGAACUUUUUCGCCUUAGCAGUGGUAAAUCUCAACCUGGUUACUCUGAAAUCCGUCAUCAUUCACAGAUUGGCUUCAAGUCCCUUAGAGCAUUGAGUUUGAAAAGUCUGAAUGUAACUGGGGAGGUACUGGAAUUCUUCUUGAUCAAUUGUCCAUUUCUUGAGCGCCUGGUAGUGGAGGCCUCUUCAGUUUUGAUCAACCUUCGAGUUUGUGGUCCAUCUAUUGCCUUGAAAUAUCUGGAGGUAUGCUACUGUUUGAGGUUGCAAUCCAUUAUUGUCAACGACACAAAUUUAGUCUCCCUUACAACUACAGCAGCACACCAUCUUGUACUUCAGAAUGUCCCCAUGCUUGUGAAUGUAUGGGUUUCUGGGGAUUCCCUUAACUUGGUCAGGGAUGUUACUUCUUGGCUUUCUUGCUGCUUGUCAAAACUAGAGGUUCUUACUUUACGUGCCGACGAGUUUCAAGUUUCACAGGUUUUUUCUAGUUAUUUAAUGGAACUCUUUGAAGAGAUUCCUUUCCAACUAUUGUUUAUAAUCACUGCCAACUGCUUGCCUCACUGGUUUGAUUUUGCUUUCUUCUUGUUUGAUCAUCCUAGGAAAAAGGAAUUGUUCAUGAGCUUCCUCAACUUACCAAUCUGAAGGAGUUCGUCUUAAUAGCUUUUGCAUCAAAAGAUGACAGUUUGAUUGGAUUUACUUCUUUGAUCAGGGCUUCCCCCAACUUGGAGAAGUUUGUGCUGAAGGUAGCAUAUUGCUGUACUAAUCUCAGCCAUCGUUUUCUUUUACUGUCUGGUUUUGUUUUCUUGAGCCUUGCUUUAGUUAUUCUUGUCAUUCUCCGUGGCAUUUGCUGCAUGCCAUGCCAUGCCAUUGAGCGUCAUACUAUGGGACUUGAACAUUCUUAUGAUUAUGAACAUUUAAACGCAGUCUAGGAGCCCAAUCAAUUCUUGAAAGCGAAAAGGCAAUGAUUAUACUAACAUGCUUCGUGUCAGUGUGACAUGCUGUUUCUGUUGCUGCUCCUAUUCGUUUCUUUCUUUUUCUAAUUUGUGUUGUGUACUCUUAGCAGAUUUCCCCCCGUUCUUUUUGAUCUGCAAUAUUUUAGUUAUUGACAGCUUAAUCUGUUUGCAGUUGGAAUCAUGGUGGAAUGAUAUGGUCAGGGGAGAUAGAAAGUUGAAGAAAGCUGCCAGCUUUCCGCUCCAACAUCUGAAAGUGGUUGAGUUACUUGGAUACUAUGGUCGCAGAAGUGAACUUGAACUUGUUGAAUACUUCCUCGAGAACGCUAUUGUCCUCGAGAAACUUAUAAUUGACCCUCGUGAUCCGCAUAAUGUCACUUGGCCCAAAACGCGCAAGGAAAGAAAGCAGGAAAUGAAGGAGGAAAAGUUAGCUAGAAAUUGUGCCAAGCAACAGCUCGAGGGAUUAAUACCUUCACAUAUUGAAUUUUCGAUUCUAUAGCUGCAAACAGCAAAUGCAGCUAAAUUUAGGUUUAUGUACAAGAAGUUAUACUUUUGGGAUGUGGAAAAAGCCUACUUAUUAUAUACUUUUGAGGGUGGUAAGUGAUUUCCAGAGUAUAAAUACUACACCUACUACAAAAAAUUUAGGGCAAAAAAUCGCUGUGAUUCUCGAACUUUCAACUUUGUGCAUUUUAAUCCUCCAAUUAAUAAGUGCGUAAAUAUAGUUCUCCAAUUAAUAAAAAUGUGUAGUCAUAGUCCUUCCGUCUAAUUUGGCUGUUAGGGAUGAUACAAAAAAUAAAGGGAUAAUUUCAGAAACCUCCCUUGAGGUUUUUAACAAUUUCAUUUAGCUCCCUUAAGAUUUUAAAAAUUACAUAUACCUCCCUUAUCAUUUAAAAUGAUAAUACUACCCUUAAAUAUUUUAAUAAAAUUUCCUUGUUUGAUAUGUGUAUACUCAGAAUGACUUUUAAAAUUAUUUUUUCAUUCUUUUUCCUUCUUAUUCCUUUUUUUAAAAGUUUUUUGUCAAUAAAACUGUAGAACUACCACUUUCACCUCUAGUUUCUAGUGUAACCGAAUGUCCAAGUAGUGAUUUUUUUGACGAGUUAACUUUAUAUGCAAUCCAAUGUAUUUGCUUAUCUUUGUUUUCUAUUUUUUGGUAUUAAAAUUAACAAUAAAUGAAAAGAAAAUGGCCCAAAAUUACUAUUAAAUUAUGAUAAUCCAACUACUCGAAAAAUUCAUAAACUCUAAAUGAAUUAUUUCAAUAUUUUUUUCUAUCUUAUAAAUUUAAAUCCAUAAUAAAAUACCAUCAAAAGUAUCCUAUCAUAAUGAUAAAAUUAUUAUUAUAGUUGUUUAUCAAAUAGUAGGUAUGGACUUGAAAAUUUUGGGACAUUUUUCUUAUAAUUAUACUUGAUAAUCUUAUAAUUAUAUAGGAAAGUAAAUUAAAACUCAUUACACAAGGGUAUUUUUGGAUAUUCAUUUAAAAAUUUGAACAAGUCAAUAUUAUUUUAAGGUUUUGUUACUAAAACAAUCAAAUCAAAGGAAGUAAGUGUAAUUUUUCAAAUUUCAGGAGAGCUCAGUGAAAUUGUUAGAAACCUCUAGGGAGAUUUUUGUAAUUAUUCCAAAAAUAAAUGUCAUGUGAGCAAUCCGUGAUGCAUUUCCCAUCCAUUUUAAUGGCCAAAUUGGACGGAAGGACUAUAACUAUACAUUUUUAUUAAUUGAAGAACUACAUUUAUGCACUUAUUAGUUGGAGGACUAAAAGUGCGCAAAGUUGAAAGUUUGAGGACCACCGCGGGUUUUUGCCCAAAAAUUUAUGACUUUGUAUGAGUGCAAUUACAUUAUUGCCUUUAUUCAUGAAAUUAUUUAUAACCUAAUAUUAUUUCCUUUCAUUUCUUGAAGAUUUAUUUCUUCUCCAUCAUAUCAAUUAUACAAAAAUAUCAAGCUAAAAAAAGUUAAAGAAAGUUGAUAUUUAAUUUAUAUCCUUGAAAUUUUCCUAUUGGAUUAGUGUUUACUUCUAUAUACAAUGUUUUAUUCAAUUUAUUAGACUUUAAGUGAAACAACAUGGAUAAAUAACAGAAUACUAAAAAUAAAUACAAUUACCAAAAUUUAUAUAAAAAAAGGUAAUACCAAACUCAUUUUUUUAAAAGUAAUAUAUUUGUCAUUUUAAUUUAUUUAAACUUUUAGACAGAUAUCAGUGUCAUUUUUUUUAUCAAAUUAUUCAAAUAUGAAAUUCUUAAUCAGUUUGCUAAAAUGGUUGAUAUGCCUCAUUUUUAAACUUAGAGAAGACAAGUGGAGAUUAAUCUUUGAGAAGAAAAAGCAAUAAUACUAAACUAUAAACACAUUAAUAAAAAUUAACAAUAAUAUUAGCCUAAAAGUUCACGUAAACUAAAAUAUUAAAAAAACUACCUUUUAAAUAAAAAACAAUUUUAGUACCUCUUUUUCCAAAAAAAAAUAAAAAUUGGUAUCUGUGUUUAUUUUAGUAUUGUAUUACUUAUUCUUUUUUAUUUGAUUUAAAUUAUAAUAAAUUGUACAAAUCAUAUAUAGAAGUGAAUACCAACCGACGGGGAAAAUUUUAAGGAUUUAAACUAAAUUUAUGCCUUUCAAGAGUAAUUUUUUUUUCAUCCCUUUAUUUUAUGUCUUUUCUUUUUCCUUUUUUUUCCAGUUUCCUGGCACGUAAACGUUAAACAUCAAAUGAUAUAUAAUCUUCGCUUUGGUUUGAAGAUACAAAUUAUAAGCAUGGAUGCUGUUUUGCUGCAUUUAUGCAAGUAAGAGAUGAACAUAAACCAUGAUCAGUGGUCUUAUUUUCUCACAUGAAAUUGAUUUAGCGUUUGCUGUCACAUUUUCCUUCCUCUACACCUUUAUCCUUCCUUUUCAAGCUAGAAGAACAUUGGAGGCAAGACAACCAAAUCGAAAACAUGCAGGUAUCUAGAAAACCAUUUGGAUUUGUUGUAAGGUUGUAGACAAGCGCAAUUUCCUUCUCCUGGUCUGGCCAAUGAUGCCUUUGAAAUACUGCUUCAAAACUUGGUGAAAUUCCAUUACGUACCAACCCAAAUUCAGUUGUCUUUAGCUGACUUCCGGGGCACCUCGUAAUCAUAGUAAUGAUUUAAUGUAACCAUAUUCUUCGUCUUUGAAGAAACUUGAAUCAUCCUGGCUCUUAAAUUUUCCUCGUCAACCAACACCUUGACAUUUAUGCCCGCCCUUUAAGUCUUAACAAGUCCCGGAAGCUUGUGCAGCCUUAACCUGUAAAGAAUUUCAAUGUUGAAGCCUCCUCGGGGCAUUAAUGAGAAUUAGACAGAAUAAGGUAAACCAUAAUGCGGUCAGAGCUAGGCAUGGAAGUCUAGAAUUUUGUUGGGUAAUUUUCAACAUUAACUAAGAAAACUAGCAAGAUGAUGAUCUUCAACAUAUUCUGUGCAGUCAGCAAUCUGCUAUUUUUAAUCUUGAGAACCAGUCAAGGAGAGUGUUGCCAGGAACAUCUAUAUAAACCCAACUAAAUUCCAUCCCAAAUUCAGAUCAUCCAACUAGCUACAUCUCAUCUUUUCUAGCUGCAUAUUAAUUCGAAUACAGACAAUAUAGAGAUGGCCAUUACCAUGAGUUUUGGUAAAGGGUUACUUAUCCUUCUCCUAACCUUAGUAGCCACCUUGGCAAUUAGCCAAGCUGAAACGGUUGUUGUUGGAGGCUCAGAGGGAUGGCGCUACGGCUACAAUUACACUGAUUGGGCCUUGAAACACGGUCCCUUUUUCCUUAACGACACACUAGGUUAGCCUUGCAUUAUUGUCAUCACUUGAAAUUUUUAUCAGCUGAGUCAGAAAAUCUGAUUCAAUCCAAUUUUGAUGUACACUCGUUUUUUGAUUCUAGAUUAGGCGACCCAAAUUGUAUAAAUUUGGAUUGGAUUUUCGAAAUCUACUAACUAAUUGUGCACAUUAAUCUGCUUGGGGACCUUAUUUAGUACAAUGUAAAUGUCAUUAACAACUGAAUAUUACUGUUUAAUUAAUGGUUUGAUCUAACGUUAAUUGUUGUGGUGGUGCAUCAGUGUUCAGGUAUCCUCCUCCUAACGACACCGUGAAGCCUCACAGUGUGUACCUGCUACCAAACCUCUACAGCUUCUUGACAUGCGAUUUUAAGGCCGCAACCCUGGUGGCACCUCCCAAUCAAGGAGGUGGAGAUGGGUUUUCGUAUACGCUGAGUCGGGUCAGGCCUAACUACUUUGCUAGCAGAGAGGGAAAUGGCGAUGACUGCACCAAAGGAUUGAUGAAAUUUGCUGCCAUUCCUCUCUAUCGUCCUCCAUUCCCCUGAUGUGUUUUCAUUAAACCAACAAUCAGCCAACAUAUGGUUAACUGAGCAGUGAUCUAGCUUAAGAUUUUAGCUUGGAGUACUAUUUAUUGUACGGAAUGAAUAAAUGCUGCCAGAAAAAAAAAAUAUAUGAGGCUGAGCACAAUCGAAAUUAAGAGUGGAUACACAUAUACUAGUUCUUUAUUUCAGUUCUGUACUCAAGUGAUACGGUAAUGAAACAGAAAUACAAGCAAGCUACAUGCGUGCAGCUUUUCUCGUGUUACAUGCAUCCUGUUGAUAAAUAUGGUCAUGGGUUUUCAUAUUUUCACUCCCAACUUCUUGUCAUAUGCUUUUCACACUUGAGAUCCCAUUCUUGAAUGUAUCUACAGCAUGUCACUGUUUUUGGUAAAAAGUAACGUAUGUUUCUAGAGCAACGUUUUUCAGACUUGAGAUAUUGAACCGACAGCCUACGUCUCUGUUAAUACCGUUUAGAUGACCGGCAGUGGGACGGCUGGAGACAUUCCUGAUGGUAACAUUCUCCAACAUCGGUCUGUGAAAUAAAUUCUCAAAUUCUUGACCUUAUCUUGAUUUUUCAAGGUGCCUGCAUGAUAGAUGUCCCGGUCAUUGUCUGACGAAUAAAGAAGAGCCGACGACCGAAGGCUUAGAUAUUUGGUUAAGCCCAAAUAGGCAAAACAAGAGCACCCUGCAUGAAAUUAUUGUCUAAGCCUGAACUGAGGUAUGACUUUCUUGGUAUCUACUCUCCAUUUAUCAGGCAGAAAAAGAAUGACCCAAUUAUUUUCCUUUUUUUUUUUCUUUUGCCAAAAUUCCAAGGCAGUGUUUAAAAGCUGGCUGGCAUAACCGUGAUCAUCUUAAUUCCCAAGUUGAAACGAGAUACUAAACAAGUUGGAAAGACUUUUCCUUUUGGGUUUUUUUUUUUUUACUUUGCCCAAAUUCAUUCUUUUGAGUCUUCAAUUUUAUCGAUUAUGCACCAUUGAGAUCAAAAUUGGCUGAUAGAUUUUAGUGCUCAUAUUGCAACCACAAAGGAGAAAGAAACCUUGUGGUGGCAGGGGGCAGCUACAAUUCUCUAGGUGCCCAAAUGGGCAUUGAUGCAAAAUUUUAUCAAGGGCAAGUAGUGUUGUUAUUAUUAUCGUUAGGAAAAAAAAAAAAAAGUAGUGUUGUUAAAGCCUGGUACCACAAAGCAUGGUGGCCGAAACAGGAUGUUGGUUUCACACUGACUCUGGCUGUUGAGCACGUUUACAACAUGGAGCUUGCCACCCUUAAAUUAAGUUUGAAAUUGAAAGAAAAGUACAACUCAAAGUGGGAACUGGGAACAGCGAGCUUUCCGUCAAGAGCAUGCCAUGAGAGAGGGGCUUUAACUCCCUCUUUGGGUUGUAGGUGAGAGUUCAAAUUUCACCUGUAACGAAAAAAAUUUAAAAGUUGUGUCAGUAUUUUUUUGGUUUAAUUGAAUCUGUAUAUCCACUAUCUCUCUAUCACGACUUUCUUCGGCUCCCCCUUCCCCUUUAGAUUAAGAUAAAGCAGGUUAUACAAAUGUAUCGUUGCUGGAAGAAAAAAAAAAAAAGACUAAGGACAAGGAACCUGUGGCCUUGAUCCCACCACGAUUUUCGAGUUUCGACCUUCCAGGAGCCCUCCCCCGUAAUAAUGAUUCCUGUCUUUUCAUGUUCCGUUUUUUAGUUUGGUCAAAUUAUCAAUGGGAAAUUUGCCAAAUUAGUCCCUAACAUUUUCACAAAAUACUUUUUUAGUCCCUAACAUUUAAAAUCAACCAGAAUAGUUCCUAACAUAUAAAUUAUGAGCCAGUUUGGUCCUAAUGCUCGUAUUUGCUCUUUUUUCUGGCUAAAAAUAGAACACCGGCGUAAUUUCAAGGGCAAAAUCGGAAAAAUUCGCUAAUCCAUAAUUUUGCAGUCCUCAAACUCUUCCACCGCUUCUUCAAUUGAUUCUCAACCUACUGCUACUAGGAUGGAGAAUUAACAAGAAAAAUUGAAUGAAAAGACAGAAAUAUCAAAGACACCAAAAAGAAGUUUCAAGAAAUAUCAAAGCCACCAAGAAAAAGUUUCAAUCUCGAACAGAAGAUUAAUGGGAAAUCUACUAGCCUGGCUACAGGCUAUGACAACAGGGUCAAUCAUGAGUUGUCCAGAAGGUGGAAAAUUAAGCAAAAGGCUUUGUGGGUUAGAAAGCUUCAGCUUCAAUUCUUUCAAACAAGACAGAGCCUGCAUCUGUCACAAUCAGCGGCUUCCAAUGCAUAAUCAUCUUCUUCCACAAUACUCUGUACCAAUAUCUGCAGUUCCCUCAUAUUGAUUGCUCAAAUUUGGUAAGAAAGCUGUUGAAGCAUUUUGGCAAGUCCACAGGCUAUCUUUGCUUGAACGGAGCCCAUAUUCCUCCGUCUCUAUUCAGCCAUUGACCCAAUCUCUUCUUCUGCUUCUGACUUCGUAAAAUCAUCCGUCCUUGCUCCUCUUAACCAAGGAAUCAGCAACAUGGGUUCUCUCAGGCAGCUAUGGUUAUUGAGAAGAAUACCCUUUUCAGUUUGGAAAUCUCUGAAUUCGAUAUCAAUUUCAACAAAGAACUCAUUUUUAUCUUCUUAUUUGGCAAAUAAUUCUCUGCACCUUCUUAAACCCACAAAGCCUUUGGAGAGCUUCAACAAAAGGGUGAGAAUCAAUUGAAGAAGUGGUGGAAGAGUUUGAGGGAUGCACAAUUAUGGAUUAACGAAUUUUUCCGAUUUUGCCCUUGAAAUUACGCCGGUGUACUAUUUUUAGCCGGAAAAAAGAACAAAUACGAGCAUUAGGACCAAACUGGCUCAUAAUUUAUAUGUUAGGAACUAUUCUGACUGAUUUUAAAUGUUAGGGACUAAAAAAGUAUUUUGUGAAAAUGUUAGGAACCAAUUUGGCAAAUUUCCCAUUAUCAAUUGGUCAUUCACAUUAUCACUUGCGGUUCAUAAAUGCUUUCAAAUAUAAAAUGCCCUCAAAACACAAAAAGAUAUAAAAUGUCCUAAUGCCAUUUCUAGAUAAAGUGUAGCUCCUAGCUAGGAAACAUGCCAAAAAUUAACCCCAAAAAGAAGAAGAAAAGAAUGAAAAAAGAUAUUUAUAGUUCUCAAUUAAAUGAUCAUCACAAGAUGAAACUCUAAAAUUAUAAUCUCAUCUAUUCUCACGGAUCAAUUAGAUUUUAUAAUUGAUUCAUAAUGGGAGUCAUAUUAAUUUUUUUUAGUGCUAAUGAAAUAUCUUAAACUGGAGACAUCUCACUUAUCUUCCAUCUUUUCCGACCAUCCAAUCCAUCCCUCCUCUUAAAUUAUAUUAAUAUAAUUCACCUGUAUUAUGUAGCUACAUAAAAUAUUGGUUGUGUGGUUCGCCAUCAAUUAUUAUUAUUAUUUUUUUUUUUUUUUUGCUUUUUUUAAGAGCUGUAACGAUGAGUAUGUAUGUGAAACAUUGAUCAUAUAACUAAGCGCGCACUACGCAGUCUAAAAUGCAUAUCGUCAACCAAGUUGUAUGUGUAUGCUUCCUAAGAAUUUGAGAUUGGCAGCUAAAUGCUGCUAAGUAAAUGGUUCCCAGUUAAGAUGCACAGAAAUGGUAAACUAUGUAUGCUCGUUUGUUCAAUGGGGAGCUGCAGGGUUCAUGUAUUUGUUUUCAAGAUAAGAGAGUGACUUUUCCUCGCCCUCUCUUUAGCUGUCACUGUAGCUUAGAGCCCAUUUGAAUUGCUGUUUUCUAGAGUUGUUGUGAAAAAAUAUACCGUAGUGAUUUAAUGUACAUGAGGUAAAAAACUGAAUAAAAAAUGAGUUUACAGAAAAUGUAAAAAUAUUUUGAAAAAAAAAAAAAAAAAAGACAACCAAAGCAAGGUCUAACUUUGUAGUGAAAUAAAAUUUAUGUAUGAGAGAUCAGAUACCCAUGAAAAUGCAUAUUUCCGACAGAGAUGGUCCUUUCACUAGUGUAAACAACUUCCUCAAUAAUAAUUUAUUUUAUACACUUCCAAAAGCCAAAAAAUAAUGAGCAGGAUGCAACCUGCAACUCUGUUUGUUUUAGAUUCCAGCAAGUUUUAAGUACAGCAUGUGUAACCAGGCGAAAAUGCGAUUUUUGAAGGAACUCAUGCAGGAGCUUUGAACUCAUUCCGAGUGUGACAAAGUUUUACCCUUCUUCCUCUUGUGGCUAUGAAGCAGGACAAUUGCAAAAUAAUCUUUUAGCCCCCUUGUAUUUGCUCAAAGGUGGCGUACAUUUAUUUUUUCUAAUUUCCAGGGGCUGGUUUGAAAUGCAAUUUUCAAGAAGGUGCCUAAAGGGAAAAAAAUAUCGAGAGACCACAAUAUUGUGUUUGGAUUGCAUUUUUCAUGAUUUUUCAUAGAAAAAUUACUGUAGCGAUUUGAUGUAUGUGAGAAAAAAAAAGGUAAUAGAUAAAUGUGAUCACGAAAAAUAACGUAAUUUUCUGACAAAAAACUGCAAUCCAAACAAGUCCUUAAUAAGCAUUUUAUUUAUUUUUUGUCAAAUCAUAAAUCUAAUCCCAGAACAGUCCUCAAAAGCCGGCAACUCUUGAGGAUGUCCCGAGGACUUAUAACCUAAUAAGCAUUUUAUUAGCCGAACAAGAAAGUAGAGUCGUCCUACAUUUCCAGUUAAAGUAUUUAGCCAUCGUGUCCAAGAUUCUGACUUCAAUCUUGGCCUCAAAUAAUGGAUAAAUAAUCUAAAGUAAGCACAAUGAUACGGCUUAGAAAUUGGAAAUGGAAUUGGGGAACAAAAAAAAUAAAGGUUUUCCCCAUUAAUCAGGUUCACGUGAAAGAUAUUGCUAAAAUAAUUAAAACCACCAUGCCUUCCAACUCGAGGCAUUCAGAAUUUUUUUUUUCUUUUUUUUUUUAACUAAUCGUGAGAAUAUAAACAAAUUAAUUAACAGCAAAUUGAGUAAUAACAACAAGCAUCAUUAAUCCUCGUGCUAAUGAAACCCGGAGGAAGUUGCCGAAAACGACGAGGCAACAUACUCCCUAACCUCCCUGGCGAUCACAUUUCUCAUUGCAUCCCAAAACCCCGCCGGCAAGUUCUCCUCCGCCCCCAACCCGGGACCCCUAUACAUCCCAGGCGGCGCUAAGGACAACGUCGUCAUCGGGUCGGACUCAUCGUAGUCGGUAAAAGGAACCACCCUGGAAUUCACCCUCGAGGUCGAGGUAGCAGUAAUAUUAUUGUUACUCUCGGGAAAUGGCACAAAUCCCGAGAACUCAUUCUUGACAUCAGCAGCAAUGUCCAUUGCUUCCGUCAUUUGGUUCUCUUGCUGUUGCUGAUGAUUUGUCUCUUUUUGUUGCUGAUAUCUUCUUUUCAGCGUCGAGUUCCAGUGGUUCUUGACCGCAUUAUCUGUCCGACCGGGGAGCAACCGAGCAAUGGUUGCCCAUCUAUUCCCGUAUUUUGCAUGAGCAGCUAAGAUGGUGUCGUCUUCCUCCGGCGAAAACGGCCGGUGUUCAACGCUAGGACUCAGCUGGUUGCACCAUCUAAGCCUGCAAGAUUUUCCAGACCGCCCCUUUAUGUAGUUGCUAAUCAAGGACCAGUUUCUAGCCCCAUAUUUCUCUACUAGGCGGGUUAGGAUCUUGUCCUCCUCCGCACUCCACGGCCCUUUUAUCCUCUCGGACCUGCUAGCAUCUCUUGGUGUUUUACCGGACAAAGAAGAAUCAGAAGACGAUGAAUCAGACGAGGAAGAUGUUGCAGAUGAGCACCUGUAGAAACUAUCCAUUUCAAGAAUCUCUGUUUCUAGCUAAAGCUGAAUACUGAUGCAGCUCCUUUUUUUUUUUUUUUUGCGAUGCUCAAUGGAUCGCUCGCUAGCUAGCUAGAACAGUCGUAUGUUGUGGUUUGAGUAUUUAGUAAACUGGGGUUGGGGGAAGAAAGUGACAUAUAUACACAUAUAUAUAUCUGGAGAGAGAGAGAGAGAGAGAGGGGGGGGGUAUAGGAGGGCAUGUAUAAAAACUAAUAGGAGUACAAAAUUAAGGUGCCUUAGGGAACAGGGAAAUUGGGGUGCAUGCAUUUGAUUUUGGCAUGGCUUUUUAGGCUAAAGGUUCUGCGGGGAGGGUUCUUGGAAAUUGCCUUGUGUAAAGUUGGUAGGGACAUUAACUAUUAAGUAGAGAGAGAGAGAGAGAGAGAGGCUGCUUAGAUUAGAUGCGCCACAAGUGGUGCUGGUCGCGAUAAUAUUUUUGCUGAUUUUGGUUUCUGCUAGCAGAUUUGUCGCGGCUGGUUCUGUUUUGUCGUUAUUAUUGGUAAAAUGACAAAUUUAUCUACGGAAAGAUACGAAAGGAUUUGGGGAAUGAGAGGUGAUUAGCACUUCGGCCUUGCGAAAUCCUCAAGAAUUUUUAGGUUUCAACGUUGGGUUCAUUGAACCGAGUGUACUUAGUACGAGUUUGGAUUUUGUCUUCUGGUCCAGAUACAGGAUUAAAUCAUUCGACUUCAUGGAUAUGAAUCGUGUACGCUGUCCGUACAACAAUCCACCACAGGGUUCUUUUACAUUACUCCGCUAAUGGAUGAGAUCAAGAAUUAAUAUGACUCCAUAGAAUGCUACUACAACGGUACAUGAUUUUACUCUUGACAUUCAAGAUUUUCACCCCAAAAAAAUUUUUUUUUUCACAACAAUAUCUGAAGUAGCUCACUACUUGUGUCAUUCAAGUUCGAGUUUUGGCAUUAAAAAAGAAGUUCUAACUCUUAUUAUUUUACAAAUAAUCAGAUUCGAGAUAAUCUGUGAGCGCUUCCAUAAGUAAUUGUGUUUGGAUUGCAAUUUUCUGAAAUUUUUGUAAAAAAAUGUAUUGUAAAAAUUUAAUAUAUAUAUGAAAUAACAAAAUGAUUGAAAGAUGUAUUUACAGAAAAUAUAAAAAUUUUUUUGUAGAAAAUUCCUUUCUAAAUAAGGCUAAUUUUGAAAGUAUGCCUUAACCUGUCUUCAUAACGGGAUUGAAAUUAUUCAAAUUUUUGUCUAUCAAAUGGAAGGAAAAAAAAAAAACCAACAAACCACCACGGCCUUCCACGUUAGUGUCUAUGCAAAAGAAACAAUUGGACAAGGCUCAAAUAAUAAUGUUACGCUGAUUUAGAAAAUUGCGUGGAUGGUACCAUCUCAUGUGCGCUACAAAUUUCAACAGAAAUUGUAGGAGUAGUAUAUGAAAAAUUACGCAUUUAUGGAAGGAGGGCAGAAUUGGUAUUUGAAGUAGUAUAUUCCAUUUACAUACAAAGAGGACAGAAAACUACUAGUAAUAUGAUAGUAUACACUUUUAAUAAUCAUUCUCGCAGAACUACUUAUACUACUGGCUUUCAAUCUUAACAGCAGCGUUUAAAACAUGACAGUAAAGAAGGAGCUGUUUAACAUUCAUUCUUCGGCAUCAUUGAUCGUACUAGCAGUAAAGUAGUACUAACAAAUAAUAAUAAUGGUCACGCGCCAUUUUUUUCCUGCUAACGAAACCAAUACCACUGUGAAAGCUUAAAAUCUAGUGGGGGACUGGAUUUAGUAAAUAAGUGAAAAACGCCAAGUGGGGCCGCUCUUUUUGACUAAUUUGCAGACUUACAGCUGUGAUUCUCCAAUCCAUAGCAUCAGUCGCUAUAACAAACGGCCCUGAUCAACCGCUGUUUGGUUAAAAAACAAAAAGGUUUAUCUUAGCCAGUUUGAGGAUGACUUCGGCGACUUCCACGUACGAAGGUCCCACCCACAGCCUGGAAGAAUCUCACGUGAUACGAGUUUGAAUCGCUUUGACUUCAGAGGGCUAUCCAUGAAUAGCUCUUGGCCCCACUCGCCGUUAUGGAGCGUGCCGCUUAAGUGCUAGUACUGGUAAAAGUAAAACCGCCAUGGAUAUUUUUGAAAGAUGAUAUGAAUUUGGAACCUUCGAUAUCAAGUGUGUUUGGAUGGGGUUAAUAAGUGCGCUUGGAUAGUUAAAUUUUUUUAAAAUAAUAUUUUUCUUGUGUCGUGAAUAUAUUUUUUAAUAUAUUUUUUAUAUUUUCAAUCACCUUUUUAUAUCAUAUUUAAAAAAUAUUACAAUAAUUAUUUUAAAUAAUACUCUAUCCAAACACAUAUACUGUGGUACUUUCUAUGAUGUAAUAUAUGCGACAUAAAAAGAUGAUUGAGAAGAUAAAUAUGUGUUGAAAAAUUAUCAUAUCUAAAAAAUAUUACAGUAAUUAUUUUAAAUAAUACUAUAUCCAAACACAUAUACUUUAGUAUUUUUUAUGAUGUGAUGUAUGCGACAUAAAAAAGUGAUUAAGAAGAUAAAUAUAUGUUAAAAAAUGUAUUUACGAUGCAAGCAAAUAAUUUUUAUGUAUAUAAUGCCUAUCUAAACACACGUACUGAUGAUCAUCCAAAUUAACAAGCUGAUUUUACGCUUUCUUCGAAUAAUUAACGUUCUGACAUUUAAACUAUAGGGAAAAAAACACGAGCUUAAAGUUUCUGUAUCAAAAUUGUCAAUCAACUUUGACAUACAAAAAUGUAUAUACGAUGAUCAUCUCAUAGAAAAUACAUCAUAAUUUUUUUUUAAAAAAUUCUACCCAAAAAGCUGGUCUAAACUUAAAAUGUAGACUUAAUAACAAGAGGAGAGGAACACAACUGUGGAUUAAAGCAGAGUGAGCGCUGCUUGAUGGAGCUCUUUUUUCUCUCAACUUGAUUCUGGAUCUGGUUACAGUUCUCAAAGAGUUGCAUUUGUUGAAAUCGGAGCAAUGAUGCAUCUUAACUUUAAUUAGGCACGGAUCAUGCAAUUUCUUGGCAUAUUAGCCCAACUUGCAUGUACUUUUGCCACUUUUUUCUACGUGUUUCCAAAAGUUUAGGUGCAAAUUAGCGUAAAAGGGACAGUAAAUUGUAGUCCUCCAGCUAGCUCGCUAACUAGAACCAGAAGCAAAAACACACAGCUUCCAAAGGAUUAAAUUGAUUCUUGAAGGUGAGGCACACAGGCUGCGGCUAAGUGAGUGAGUGAGCGAGCGUGCGCGCUCCGUGAUCAGAAGUCUGAACGCGGAAUGUCAUGAUGAUUACUCUGGAGCCGCCCACGUGGCAGAAUUUAGGGGGCAGUUUGGAGUGUUGUGCGAUGGACAUGAUUUCAGAAGCAGAUGAAACCAAAAGCAAGCAGUUGGGUUUGGCAGUUGAUAUAAUUUGCGGUCCGAACAGCUGGCUGCCAUCUCACCGACUGGUUGUACGGUUCCCAUAAACGACGAAACCACCUGAUUGCUUCACUCCGCUGUAUCCAUCGGACGGUGGUUAUUGUCCAUUGUCUGGUGUGAUUGAACGAACAGCAACAAUGGGCCCUUCAAACUUUCCACUGAUUGAUUGGCGCUGUUUGAUCAAUCAUGAUGGUUACCAGUAACUACUCGUCUACGAACUAGUACUCUUUUUUUUUUUUUGCCUCCUAAAACGUUUGGAAAAAUUCAACUUCGAUCAUCGUCAUAACAAACAUGCUAUUGACAUAAUAUAUUGCUUACAGAUCGUGUAUAAACAUAACCCUUGCAUUAAUAGUGGAAUUGAAAUACAGAAUCUGUUCUCAUUAAUUGAGCUAAUUUGUACAGACAUAAAUUAGUUUUUUUUUUUCUCUUGAGGAAAGUUGUACUGCUGUUACUUUCCACUCGACCAACGGAUUCUGGCCGUCGGAUUUGGCGCAAAAUGUACAAUGAAGGUGGUCCACAGUGUUCCCUUCCAACCUAUUUGCCGGUUUCCUUUGGCCGUAUAGGAGUAUAACAUUUGUAUGGCAAUCAGCGUUUCCGCGUGGGCAUUGUGCAGUAGGAUGUUGUACAAUUUUCGUUUUCUAGCCACUCUUUCGGAAAAUGGUCAACUAAAUUUGGUUAUGGUUGUUAGAUCUUUCUCUCUUACGAGCAAAAUUUUAGUUGUUGUUUUUACUCGAGGUCUAGUCUUCGAAUAGUGUGCUGACGUCCCCAUCAUAUGUGAGCUGUACGAAAACUGGUAACGUGUCAAAUAUCGCAUGAGUGCAAUCAGUUUUGCCUGAAGAAAAAUUUUCCAGGCGAACAUCAGAAAAAGUGGAUUUAAUUUGUUCAGUGUUUAGGCCUACAGCCUGUCCAAAAAUAUCUCAAUGGCUAAACAAGUGAUUUUAGCUAGGGUAGUCAUUGAACCGAAUCGAACGAGCAAUUCGGUCUAAAACUCUACUAGCACUCGAGUUGAUCGAGUUCGGAUAGUUUAACGAGUCAAGUUUGAGUAUCCAAUAAUAAGACUUGAAGACUCAUCGAGCUUAAUCAAAUUUUUUAAUUUUAAUUUUUUAAUAAUAAUAAUAAUAUUAUUAUUAUUAUGAAAUCACCCGUGUGUUCGCAGGAGUGGUUGAAUUUAUCAAAUGUUUUAGGUUGUAUAAAAAUUUUUGAAGGGUGAUAAUGUUUUUUUGCUCACAAAUUGUCAAAAAAAAAAUGAAAUUCUCAAAUCUCCUUGAUUUGAGUUCGAUGAGGCUUGUUUGGACUCCAACUUAUGUGAGUCGAAUUCAAGUUCUAUGAGCAAUGUAUCGAACUUGAACUCGAACUCCAGUAAUGCUACUCGUCUGAGCUUGUACUUGAGUAUCCUUCUUACAAAUCGAAUUGAGCUUGAAUACAACGAUAUUUGAGUUCAAUUCGACUCGAUCACAUCCCUAAUUUUAGAGCCUUCUUGCUAUCAUAUCCAAGAUUUGAGUCUUGAAUUUGGCCCUUUAGCGAAAAAGUGUGGGGGUGAAAGGAAUUAAAAAAAAAAAUAGUCUGCCCAAAAAUCCUUUUAAAUUUUUCAUGCCAAAAGAGUUGAAUAAGCAUCCGAUUGUUGUUCAAAUUGUGAACUAUAAUAUGGUUUUUCCUAUUAAAUUUAGUUCUUCGAAGUUGAAUUGUACUAGGCACUGCUGGCACUCUCUCUACUUGAGUCCCAGGCCAUUACAUUUUUUUUUUUUGGGGUAGUCCCAAACCAUAAGUUUAUUGUCGAAUAAAAAAAUUCAAUCAAUUUCUCGAGGCACCAAUGCUAGGCUGCAGUUGCCGAUUUCAUUAGCCAUGGACAAUGAAACUAGAUUAAAAUCAUAGCCGUUUUACCUGAAACUUUAACUUUGUUUCUAGGAGCACUAUUGUAAAGUUAAAUAGCAUUUCUAGAUCAAGAGUUUAGGUUUGCUGAUGAUGAAAAUUCACCUUCUCUUUUUCAACCAAGUUGAAGGAAUCCAAACAAAACACCGGCUCAAAGGUGACAGAAGUUGGAAGUAUACUUUAAAACUUCAUUGUCGUCCAUAAAGUACAUGACUAUAAUUAUAAUUAGUAUUAUUUUUGUAAGUAAUUAUGAUCAUUGUUGUUGACAGCCUUACUUUGUCCUGGUGUUUUUGUUUUAAGAUUUUGGUCCUAGUAUUUUCUCAUGAUAAACAAAUACAUUUAUGGGUGAAUGAAUCUCGCUGAGCUCAACUACUGCCCAACUAGAAAAUAUGAAAAAGGAUGCAAAAUUGCCAUUAUCUCUAACUCUUACAUAAUUAUCUCUUCAUCUGUCCCAACCAAACAUGUAUAGUUUGACAAGGAUAUCAAAAUUGUUCAAUUAGGCACGCCACAUAAGAGUGAGAAAUAAUUCUAAUUAAAAUAGUUACUUUCAUACAUAUAGUAACUAUUUUAAUUAGAGUUAUUUCUCAGUUCUAUGUGGCGUGCCUGAUUGAAAAGAAUUAACGGGUUAUGGGUCAUUUGAAUUUUACCCAUAUUGAAUAUUAUAUUAUACGUUUAAAAAUUAUCUCAAAUUUUAAAAUAAUUUUAAAAAACAACUAAUCUUAUCUUAAUGAUAUCUAAAAUAAUUUUAAAAAAUAACUAAUCUUAUCUUAAUACUUUCUAUGAAAUUAUUACAUACAACUAUAGUAAAACCUUUUUUUUAAAUCACAAUUAUUAAAAUCUUAUGUGUUCCAUAAAUUGCUUUCUUUUUCCACUAUAUCAUUGAUUAGUAUUCAAAUUGUUCAUCAUUUCUUCCCUUAAUUUUGAAUUAACUGAAUACAAAAAAGAGAAUUAACUGUUACACCGAGCAGGACGAGUAGAAUGACUUGACUCUGAAGAUGAAACCUACUUGAGAAGUAGUAAUUAGCUUAGUUUAUCUUUUCAGAUUCAUGAAUGAAAUCCAUUGUAUAUACUAAUGUCAGUACUUUCCAUUAAUUAAGAUGUCAAGAUGUUUCCUCUGCUCCUUCCUUUACACACCAGCAUUAAUUCUUUAAUAAGUUGGGGUAUCCGCAGAUGGCAACAGCCCAGAACAAAGGUUUUCAAAGCUGUUGGUUCUAAUCAAGCACUUCCAGCUCACAAAUGUCGCAGAUCUAGACAUAAUUCGCAAUUAGCUCUUCCAUCACUGCAUUGGCCAUUCAUUACCAAGAAGGUACUUAACCAAAUCUGGAAAUCUCUUAUCUGAUUUUCUCUCCCAUAUCAGGAAUGUGCAUUGAACAAUGCCAAUCAGACAAAACAGAUAAAAGAAGAAAAUCAGUUUUGGACAAUUAUCUGAACCCUCAUAUCAUAUCCGUAGUGUUUACUCUUUAAUUCUCCCAUAUUUUGUCGCCUGGAUUGGGGGCAGUCGUGUUGCACACCACAUGGAACCUAAAAAUCUUCUUUGUAAAUGUAGUAGUACUACAUAAAUAAUAAGGCCUUUCGUAUCGUACUAUAGUAUAAUCUGCCCUAUAUUUGCAUAGAAAGUUCCUGGAGUUAUUUCUUUCUUGAUUACCAGUUUGUUAGGAUAUUUGGAUCAUUGUUAAGUCCAGUAAUCAUACUACGAUCUAAUAUUUGGCGACAGUUUUACAUUUCUCCUUGUAGGAAAAAUACCAAAAAAUUGAACACAAACAAAUAACAAGAGAUUGUAAUGGCACUUACAGCAUCAAUUCUGUGAUUUGUCUCAUCUAAUCUAGUAGUAACAACCAUUAGACAGAGGAAGCCUUUACUGUAGCUUGCUUCCCUUGUUGACACGUGGCCCCUGAAUGGAGGGCUUGCCAUCUUUCGUUCCGCUGCUUCCAGUGUGUCUGCAAAAGGUGAAAGGCAAAUUGGACCGGGAUGUGAUGGAUGUAUUCAGCCCCAUAUAUGGGGGUGCCCAGUGAUUCUUUGUUGGGCUUUGAAGUUGCAAGAGGUGAAAUUCUGAAUGAUUCGUGGUCGAUGUUAGGAUGAAAUAUGGAGCACAGCAACCCAACAUAAACUCGCAUGCUUCAGGCUUCAUAGACAGCUAACAACUAACAGAGGAUCUCAUGCACAAAAAUGAGGAUCUCAACAGAAGAGGAUGAAGUUGUUUCUUACAAAGCACAACAACUAACAGAGGAAACUUUCCAAAUCCUGCAGCAAAAAGAACUCCCAAAGAUGGACAAGACAACCAAAACUGCCACUAUUCAGUAAACAAUUCCAAAGGACAAUUUUCUGGGCUACAUCCAGUUUGAAUCAGAAAAUCAGUUGCAAAUUGCACGCUCAACUAGCAAAAUUUUUCUAAACUCGAUUGUUUACCAUACUCUCUAUUGUCCACCGGAGAUGGUGCUAAUGGGACUAACGUAGCUUGGAUAAACCUGCUGUAUUUCAAAGAAAUUAAACAUCUUUUCUGGUUUUUUUCUUCCAAGGGAUAGAUCUUCCCACUUGAAAUUAAAUGAACCUGUUCAUCGUCACAAAAGCUAUCAUACAGUUGAUUAAAAAUGUGGAUGAAAAAUACCACAUCUAAGAUAUCAUACUUAUUAAUUGCCAAUUAUGGCAAAUGAAUGGAAUUUUCAGCUAUUAUCCAAAGCCACAUAAUAGGAAGGUUCAAUAACUUGUAAAAUUUUGAAGUCUUGCAUGUGCUUUUAACUAUCGUUUUUCAUCAAUUGAAUUGGUUUGACUGGUACAAGAUGCAAUUUCUCUUUGAUCCACUUGUUAUUCCUAACCUUAGUAAAGCUUCAUUCUUUGAGUACUAAACGAAUCGCGGUCUGACAAUAUUAUAAAUACAUACAUUUAGCCAUAGUUAUUAAACUCGGAUUGAUUUGGUGACCCAGGCAUCAGACCAGAUUGGAUCUCUAGUUAGAUCGGCCAAGAGAUUGAUUCGGACAAAUCCAUUUCACCCAACCAAGAACCCAUUCGGUUUUUCAAUUGACCUGGUCUUUCUCUCUCUCUCUCUCUCUUCAAUCAUGGUUUUUUGUUUUCGAAACAAAGUGUACAUGUGCUUUUGAUAAUAUUUCUACAUUGGAUCUUCAAUUAAUCUCUUGACUUCAUCGGGUCCUCUGUAUAGCAAAAAAGAGGAGAGGACAAUAGCUCCAAAGAAUCUAUGGGCAUGUCUAUUCCAUCUUUGUAGUUACUUGCUGAUAGCCAUUGGUGAAGCAGUCGUAACUGUUAUGGUAAUUAUUAAGCGGCAUCACUUCUGGCCUAACCUCGUCAAAGCUGCCCACCACCAACACCAACCCGUCGACAAGCUCGGCUUGGCGUUAUGCGUUUUAGUAUAUUUCUUCCCUGGGAUGUUCACGACCAUCGUAUUUAUGGCCCUCGCUCCGCUGUUAAAGUCUUAGUUCACCUGUGCAAAUCGGUUGCCCAGAAAAGAUCCCGGCCAUCCGUGGACGACGACCUGGAGAGCGGACCUAACGCAUAAAUAAACAAGUAAAUUAGUAGAUUGGAUUUAACUAAAGCAACUCAAAAUUAAUUACAUUAUUCAAGUUUGUUACAAAAUCAAAAUAAUAAGCUUCAACAAUUAUAAUGAUGAUUUUGAUUCGAUUUCUGUUAUCCUUUGGUUGCCUUUACUCAAAUACGGAAUUCCCAAGUCGAGCACACAAAGCUUUCUCGGGCUACUUGCACUUCUUAACAAUAGUUUGGCUGGCUAAACAUUUUCCAGUGAGCGUCUCCAUCAGAAUAAGUAGGCGCAAUAUACAGUUAAUUGUUGCGCAUCUCAAUGCUGGUCCUUAAUAAUCUGGUUGCAUUUGAAAUCACGAUGUCCAAGUGCAACAGCAAUCAGUAAUUUUUCCUCCUUGUUAUAUAUUGCCCAAAACAUCAAAUGCUGAGGAAUGAUGAGUGAACUUUGCAGUUUCACUGAUUUUUCUGAUCUUCUCUUUUGGGGUUUAGCUGAUUUUCUCUGUUGAAAUGCAAAACACGUAAAAGCUCCAAUAGGUAUAUGCUAUAUGUUAGCUGCAUCCAGUGCAACUGGAAUCGAGCACUAUUCCAUUCAGGGUUUCUGCAGAUUUUUUCCAUGGUGUCUAAUGUUUCAAACUGCAUGUGUCAGUUACAAGUUCAUAAUUGGUCGCAUACAAAUCAAUUUUAAAUAGUAUCAAGCAACUGAACUUGUGCGAUUUCAUUGAUGUUUGUAUCAUGUAUGCAUGUUCCUUUCAGAUGCACAAAUUAGAUACUCCCACGUAAUUACCAAUUGAUAAGUAGCAUAGCUAACAACACACCAGUACUGUCAAACUGAUAAAAUAGUAAAUCUUGAUAUGUAUUUUAGCUAACCAAUACCACAAGUCUUGAAUGAUCGUUCACAGGACUAAUCAAUAUAGCCCUUGAACUUGAAUACUCUGCACUGACAAACUCCACUAGAGAGUAGAGGCUAGAAAGUUAUACUUUUCUUGAAAUAAAGGUGCGAUUUUUCUGUAUAUUAUUAUUAGUUACAUACAUGCACGCUCGGAAGCGUACUAU